rnacentral:piRNA from 1 species
UUCAUGCGGAUUUUUCGUUAA